GAUGAACGCUGGCGGCGUGCUUAACACAUGCAAGUCGAGCGAGAAAAGUUCUUCGGAGCUUUUCUAGCGGCGGACGGGUGAGUAACACGUGGGCAACCUGCCUCAUAGAGAGGAAUAGCCUUCCGAAAGGAAGAUUAAUACCGCAUAACAUUGUUGAAAGGCAUCUUUUAACAAUCAAAGGAGCAAUCCGCUAUGAGAUGGGCCCGCGGCGCAUUAGCUAGUUGGUGAGGUAACGGCUCACCAAGGCGACGAUGCGUAGCCGACCUGAGAGGGUGAUCGGCCACAUUGGAACUGAGACACGGUCCAGACUCCUACGGGAGGCAGCAGUGGGGAAUAUUGCACAAUGGGGGAAACCCUGAUGCAGCAACGCCGCGUGAGUGAUGAAGGUCUUCGGAUUGUAAAGCUCUGUCUUUAGGGACGAUAAUGACGGUACCUAAGGAGGAAGCCACGGCUAACUACGUGCCAGCCGCCGCAGUAAAAC
rnacentral:rRNA from 1 species